rnacentral:rRNA from 1 species
UACGAAGGGGGCUAGCGUUGCUCGGAGUUACUGGGCGUAAAGCGCACGUAGGCGGUUUCUUAAGUCGGGGGUGAAAUCCUGGAGCUCAACUCCAGAACUGCCUUCGAUACUGGGAAACUUGAGUCCGGGAGAGGUGAGUGGAACUGCGAGUGUAGAGGUGAAAUUCGUAGAUAUUCGCAAGAACACCAGUGGCGAAGGCGGCUCACUGGCCCGGUACUGACGCUGAGGUGCGAAAGCGUGGGGAGCAAACAGG